rnacentral:rRNA from 1 species
GACGAACGCUGGCGGUGUGCUUAACAUAUGCAAGUCGAACGGAAAGGCCCUGCUUUUGUGGGGUGCUCGAGUGGCGAACGGGUGAGUAACACGUGAGUAACCUGCCCUUGACUUUGGGAUAACUUCAGGAAACUGGGGCUAAUACCGGAUAGGAGCUCCUGCUGCAUGGUGGGGGUUGGAAAGUUUCGGCGGUUGGGGAUGGACUCGCGGCUUAUCAGCUUGUUGGUGGGGUAGUGGCUUACCAAGGCUUUGACGGGUAGCCGGCCUGAGAGGGUGACCGGCGACAAUGGGACUGAGAUACGGACCAGACUCCUACGGGAGGCAGCAGUGGGGAAUAUUGCACAAUGGGCGGAAGCCUGAUGCAGCAACGCCGCGUGCGGGAUGACGGCCUUCGGGUUGUAAACCGCUUUCGCCUGUGACGAAGCGUGAGUGACGGUAAUGGGUAAAGAAGCACCGGCUAACUACGUG